rnacentral:lncRNA from 1 species
GUGUCCUCCCUGUCCCGUACAGACAUUCCCAUUAGCCACUAUAGUAUUCCUACUUUUGCCCUAGCUACAAUAUGAUGAUACAAACAUCCUUUGUCCAACUGGCAAAACAGGGAGAGGAUCAGAUCAUAAUUUCCUGAACUGGUCUUUUGGGAAACUUAAACCUCUGAGUUCCUGUAGACUGAGCUCCUCAAGGGGAUGGAGAAAAGCUGCUGUGGAAACUCAUUCAGCAGCUUGGCCCUGGGGCAUGGAUGGAUAGCCUCUGUGCUCACAGGAAGCAGCCAGGGCUCAGCAGGCAUUGUUCUAGGAAAUACAGCAGAAAUACAGAAUACCAGAAAUGCAGCAGUGAAGAAAGCCAAAAUUUGUGUCCCCUUGGAGUUUAUAGUUCAUGAGGAACUAAAAUAUGAACCAGCCAGAAAGAAGAGAUUUGGUUGA